UAAGCAUAUCAAUAAGCGGAGGAAAAGAAACCAACAGGGAUUGCCCUAGUAACGGCGAGUGAAGCGGCAACAGCUCAAAUUUGAAAUCUGGCCUCUUUGGGGGUCCGAGUUGUAAUUUGCAGAGGGUGCUUUGGCGUUGGCUGUGGUCUAAGUUCCUUGGAACAGGACGUCGCAGAGGGUGAGAAUCCCGUAUGUGGCCGCCAGUCUUCGCCGUGUAAAGCCCCUUCGACGAGUCGAGUUGUUUGGGAAUGCAGCUCUAAAUGGGAGGUAAAUUUCUUCUAAAGCUAAAUAUUGGCCAGAGACCGAUAGCGCACAAGUAGAGUGAUCGAAAGAUGAAAAGCACUUUGGAAAGAGAGUCAAAAAGCACGUGAAAUUGUUGAAAGGGAAGCGCUUGCAGCCAGACUUGCUUGCAGUUGUUCAGCCGGGCUCUUGCCCGGUCUACUCUUCUGCUCGCAGGCCAGCAUCAGUCCGGGCGGUUGGAUAAAGGCCUAUUAAACGUACCUCCCCUCGGGGAGGACUUAUAGGGUAGGCGACAUGCAACCAGCCCGGAUUGAGGUCCGCGCAUCUGCUAGGAUGCUGGCGUAAUGGCUGUAAGCGGCCCGUCUUGAAACACGGACCAAGGAGUCUAACAUCUAUGCGAGUGUUUGGGUGUCAAGCCCGAGCGCGUAAUGAAAGUGAACGGAGGUGGGAACCUUUCGGGGUGCACCAUCGACCGAUCCUGAUGUCUUCGGAUGGAUUUGAGUAAGAGCAUAGCUGUUGGGACCCGAAAGAUGGUGAACUAUGCCUGAAUAGGGUGAAGCCAGAGGAAACUCUGGUGGAGGCUCGCAGCGGUUCUGACGUGCAAAUCGAUCGUCAAAUUUGGGCAUAGGGGCGAAAGACUAAUCGAACUAUCUAGUAGCUGGUUCCUGCCGAAGUU
rnacentral:rRNA from 1 species